ACAGUUCGGUCCCUAUCUGCCGUGGGCGUAGGAUGAUUGAUUGGGGCUGCUCCUAGUACGAGAGGACCGGAGUGGACGCAUCACUGGUGUUCCAGUUGUCUCGCCAGAGGCAUUGCUGGGUAGCUAAAUGCGGAAGAGAUAAGUGCUGAAAGCAUCUAAGCACGAAACUUGCCAAGAGAUGAGUCAUCCCUGACUUUAAGUCAGUAAGGGUUGUUGUAGACUACGACGUAGAUAGGUCUGGUGU
rnacentral:rRNA from 1 species